rnacentral:tRNA from 1 species
CAGGGAGACAAUAAAUUGAUUGUGAUGUCUAAGUUAUUUAUUCUUAGGCCGCAAUCCUGUCACCUUAAGGUCGAUCGGUACCUCAGAUUUUUGAAUUAGUUUUAUAAUUGAUUCUUUGAUUUCAGUUCCUAAACUUGUCUAGGUCACACCCAACAAAGGUUUCUCCUGGGCCAUUAGCUCAGGUGGUUAGAGCGCACCCCUGAUAAGGGUGAGGUCCCUGGUUCAAGUCCAGGAUGGCCCAUUCGUUGUUGGGGGUAUAGCUCAGUUGGUAGAGCGCCUGCUUUGCAAGCAGGAUGUCAGCGGUUCGAGUCCGCUUACCUCCACUGAAAACUAUCCUGAUAACUAAAUUUCUGGAGAAAAAAAUUGUAGAUGUGGCUUAGAAUUGUCUAUUUGAAAAGAACCUAGCUUCUUGUCAUCUUUUUAUAGUUGAUAAAAUGCUGGGCUCGCAUGGAUUUUUUCCAUGAGAAUUCAGUAGAACCUUGAAAACUGCAUAGAUUAGAAAGAAUAAAGCAUCUCAUGGAUGCAUAGUUCUGUUUUGUAAUUUAGCCUUAAAACUAAAUUAUUUAAUUCUAGAAUUCAUGUUUAAUUCUUGAGUAAUAGCCGAGCACAAUUGAUUUUGUGAUUGUAUUAAA